AUUGAACGCUGGCGGCAGGCUUAACACAUGCAAGUCGAGCGAGCGGCGGACGGGUGAGUAAUGUCUGGGAAACUGCCUGAUGGCGGGGGAUAACUCCUGGAAACGGUAGCUAAUACCGCAUACCAUCAGAUUUUCCCAGAUGGGAUUAGCUCGUAGGUGGGGUAAUGGCUCACCUAGGCGACGAUCCCUCGCUGGGCUGAGAGGAUGACCAGCCACACGGGAACUGAGACACGGUCCAGACGCAUACGGGAGGCAGCAGUGGGGAAUAGUGCACAAGGGGCGCAAGCCGGAUGCAGCCAUGCCGCGUGUGUGAAGAAGGCCUUCGGGUUGUAAAGCACUGUCAGCGAGGAGGCGUUACUCGCAGAAGAAGCACCGGCUAACUCCGUGCCAGCAGCCGCGGUAAUAC
rnacentral:rRNA from 1 species